AGAACUGAUUUCCUUGACAGGUGGAAUGAUGGAGUAACGCCCUGAAACGCCUGCUCUGAUACUCCGACAUGCUUUUGCUAAGGUUAAAUGGCGAAGUAUGAAGCUCGGUGAAGUCGGCAGAGAGAUACCGUAAGCUUAUAAUGUGAAAAUCUUUUCAUUCACAGUAAGUCACGAAAGCUGUCUAGAGGUAGAUGGUGUGUCCUAUAUGCCGGGAGUCCAUAAA
rnacentral:ncRNA from 1 species